rnacentral:rRNA from 1 species
GGUCAAAGUAAUAAAGAGUCUAUGGUGGAUGCCUAGGAGCUUUAAGGCGAAGAAGGUCGUGGUAAGCUGCGAAAAGCUUGGGGGAGAAGCAAACAUUUUAUGAUCCCAAGAUUACCGAAUGGAGUAAUCCAAUUAGCUAGAUGCUAAUUAUUUACUACUUAUGUAGUAAAGGCUAUACCAGGGGAAGUGAACCAUCUAAGUAC